GCCCGUGUAGGCUAAUCUGGAUAGACUGCGAGGUUGCGGUCCUUGUGAUCCGGGUUCAAAUCCCGGCACGGGCG
rnacentral:tRNA from 1 species